GCAGCUGGUGUCCCUGAGCAAAUGGUGGAGAGCGGUACUCAGUGAGGAGCACGCCGGGGACAACGGACGGAGGGCAAGAGGAAGCCGGGAGAAGGGCGACAGGUGUCCGGACACCCCUCCCAUCUAAGGCGGCGUGACAUUCCACUGCGGGGACAGACCCUCAUCCGACGACAGACUCCCAGCCUGCCUCUGUGUUUUAGCUCCUGUGAAUCACCACUAUGAACACAAGUGUGCCAAGCCGGAGGCGAGGUGGCGGCGGGCGGAGAUAAAGCUCCUGAGCAGGAGGGAAAGGCAGCAGCUCCUGCCGGAGUGGAUGGUCGUGCUGAUGACCUGCGGUCGUGAGGUCGGGCCUGGC